AUACACUGAGAGCUGCUGUGGAAGCUUUUGGUGAGAGUAAUUGGCAGGUUGUUGCUGCUUCCAUUGAAGGACGGACAGUUACCCAGUGCUCCAAUAGCAUUGGUGUAUAAAUAAACAAUGGACAAAGAAUGGAUGUCAAAAGAUAGAUUAUGUUAUGAAUAUGAGGUUGGAGUAGAAUCUUUUUUACAAUUUGCUAAAAAAAAUGCCGUUGAUCCUAAUUCAAUAUCAUGCCCAUGUGCAAUAUGUGGCAACCUAAGGAAGCAACCUCUUGAUACUAUAAGGGCACACUUGUACCGUAAUGGAAUGGAUGGAACGUAUGUGUCAUGGAUAUGGCACGGGGAGAAGGCUACGUUAAACAACUCAAUAGAUGAUGGCGGUCUAAUUAGGGGAGAAGAGCAUAAUCGUGUUGAUGAAAAUCCUAUAGAUAUGGUAAAUGCUGCUUAUGACGAAUACGUUGAGGAUCCCAACAAAUUUAGUAAAUUACUAGAAGAUGCAGAGAAACCGCUAUACGUUGGAUGUACUACGUUUACAAAACUAUCAGCGGUAGUGAAGUUAUAUAACUUGAAGGCAAAAUAUAGUUGGAGCGAUGCAAGUUUUACGGACCUUCUGGAUUUGUUUGCAAAAAUGCUUCCAACUGACAACGUACUGCCUUCUUCUUUAUAUGAGGCAAAGAGAAGCUUGGUUGCAUUGGGAAUGGACUACGAGAAAAUACACGCGUGUCCCAAUGACUGCAUCUUAUAUCGGAAGGAGAAUGCAAAUUGUACUAAUUGCCCUACUUGUGGAACUUCAAGGUGGAAGAUAGGCAAGAAUUCUAAGAUAUCCAUAGGAGUUCCUGCAAAGGUGUUAUGGUACUUUCCACCGAUACCAAGAUUUCAAAGAAUGUUUAGGAGCAAGGAUAUAUCUAAGGAGUUAACUUGGCAUAGUGAUAAUAAAGUUUGUGAUGGUUACUUGCGUCAUCCAGCUGAUGCACCUUGUUGGAGAACAGUAGAUGAAAUGUGGCCAGAUUUUGCUAAUGAGCCAAGAAAUCUUAGAUUGGCUUUAUCUGCAGACGGGAUAAAUCCCCAUAGUGUAAUGAGUUCUACAUAUAGUUGUUGGCCAGUCAUCAUGAUUACAUACAAUCUUCCUCCUUGGAUGUGCAUGAAGCGAAAAUUCAUGAUGCUCAGUUUGUUGAUUUCUGGUCCUAAACAACCCGGGAAUGACAUUGAUGUUUAUUUGGCACCUUUGAUUGACGAUUUAAAAGUGUUGUGGGAAGAAGGUAUAGAAGCAUAUGAUGCAUACCGACAAGAAAAAUUCGUCCUUAAAGCUGUUUUACUAUGGACGAUUAAUGAUUUCCCAGCAUAUGGGAACUUAUCAGGUUGCACUGUCAAAGGAUAUCAUGCAUGUCCUAUCUGUGGUGAGAAUACAUAUGCCAAGAGGUUGAAGCAUAGUAAGAAAAUGGCAUUCACAGGACAUAGAAGAUUUUUAUGUAAAACUCAUCCUUAUCGAAGGCAAAAUAAGGCAUUUGAUGGUAAGCAAGAAUUCGACUUAGCACCCAAACCAUUGAGUGGCCAUGAUGUUCUGAAAACAGUUGAGGGGAUCAAUUGUAGUUGGGGAAAAAACAGUGGCAAGCUAAAUGCUAAAAGAAAAAUUAGUGAAUCAUGUUGGAAAAAGAAAUCAAUUUUCUUUGAGCUUGAGUAUUGGAAGCAUUUGCAUGUUCGGCAUGUUCUUGAUGUCAUGCACAUUGAGAAAAAUGUGUGUGAAAGUAUUAUUGGCACAUUACUUGACAUCCCAGGAAAAACCAAAGAUGGGGUAGCUGCUCGACUAGACCUUGUGGAAAUGAAUGUGAGAAUGGAGUUGGCACCAAAACAAGGGGAGAAGAGAACGUUUUUGCCACCUGCUUGCUAUACCCUAAGCAAAGAUGAGAAAAAGAAAGUUUGUAACUCUUUGUUACAUAUGAAAGUCCCAUCAGGCUAUUCAUCUAAUGUGAGAAACCUUGUCAAUGUGAAGGAGUUGAAACUUGUUGGUCUUAAAUCUCACGAUUGUCACACUUUCAUGCAACAGUUGCUUCCAGUUGCUAUUCGAGGUGUGUUACCCAAACAUGUAAGGUAUGCUAUCACUCGGUUGUGCUUCUUCUUUAAUGUCAUAUGUAGCAAAGUGAUAGAUUCCUCAAAGUUAGAUGCGCUACAAGAUGAGAUUGUGACAACGCUGUGUUUGCUUGAAAAGUACUUUCCUCCUUCAUUUUUUGAUAUAAUGGUUCACUUAACUGUUCAUCUUGUGAGAGAGGUCAAAUUGUGUGGACCAGUGUGGUAUAGAUGGAUGUACCCAUUUGAAAGAUAUAUGAAAAUCUUGAAAGGUUAUGUGCGAAAUCGCAAUCGACCAGAAGGUUGUAUAGCCGAGUGUUAUAUUUCUGAAGAAGCUAUAGAAUUUUGCUCAGAGUAUUUGACUAAUGUACAAACAGUUGGGAUCCCAUCAACAUUUCAAGAAGUGGUGCGAACUCGGCCUUUAUCAGGUGCUCAAGUGCAAUCCAUUAGCCAAGAGGAGUGGGAGCAAUCACAUCGUUAUAUUUUGGCAAAUGAUGUAGAAAUAGACCAAUAUGCCAAGGAACACAAGGCACAUUUGAAGGCUUCAUUGCGCGGUAAAGUUAGGACAGAGAAGGGGCUACUUGAUGAGCAUAACCGCACAUUUAUUAAUUGGUUACGUGAUCGUGUUGGAAGAGCAAUAAAUGAUUCCACCCAUGAAAUAUCAGAAAGACUAAAAUGGUUGGCACAUGGUCCUCGGAACCAAGUGUUAAAGUACUCUGGUUAUUUAAUUGAAGGAGUUACUUUUCAUACCAAAGAUCGUGAUAAUUUGCGAGCUGUCCAGAACUCAGGCGUAAGCUUAGUUGCAAAUAUAAUGCAAGUUUCUAGUGCAAAGGAUAAGAACCCCAUUGAGUCAGAUAUGGUAUUUUAUGGAGUUAUUGAUGAAAUAUGGGAGCUUGAUUACCAUACCUUUCGAGUUCCUGUGUUCAAAUGCAAUUGGGUUGAGAAUAACAAUGGUAUUAAAGUAGAUGAUCUUGGUUUCAAAUUAGUAAACCUCGAUAGGAUUGGAUUCAAAUCUGAUUCUUUUAUCUUAGGGAGUCAAGCCAAGCAAGUAUUUUAUAUUCAAGACCCUCAAGAUCCUAUAUGGUCUGUCGUGCUCGCAACUCCUAGUCGGGAUUACUUUGAAUAUCAAGAUGGGAAUGAAAUGGAUGAACCAAUAAUCCAUCAUCAAUGCUUUACGAAAGGGAUGCCAGAUGUUGACGUUAAAGAUGAGAGUGAACCACCAUGCAUUCGAGAAGAUUGUGAUGGGACAUGGGUUGAGAAUAGGAACUCGUAGCAAGUUUCUAGUGUAUAAUUACUUUUCAAACCUCAUAUUUUAAAUAUGACUUUGUUUGCGGGGUCUAUGGCUGGUCGAAGAAAGAAAAAAAUUGUACAACAGGAACAAAAGGGACAAGAAGUACAUAGUGACGAAGAACAUAAUGGAAAAGAGGUUCAGGUAGAUGAGGAAGAAAACAUGUCGGGUUCUCAAGAAACCCAGUCAACGAGGAGCACACGAGGUCGUACCCAAAUGCAUAAGCUUGCUAUGCAAAGGGCACAAGGACUGAAGAAAGACGUACAAUUCAAUGAACUAGGACAACCAAUUGGAGAUAGUGCUGCAGAACUACAAAGUUACAUUGGUGUCCUUGCAAGAGAAAAGGUGAAGUUGAAUUUUAAGACAUGGAAACAUGUGCCACAGGAUAUUAAAGACAAGAUAUGGGACGCUGUUAAUUUGAGCUUCAGAGUUCCGGCAAUAUUCAAGAAACCUUGCUUGAGUUCAGCAAAUGACAAAUGGCGGCAAUAUAAAACACAACUCACAAAUAACUUUAUUUGGAAGAGACUGAAUGAUGAAGAAAACUUGCACAAACCACCCCCAGGAUAUGGUAUUAUGGGAGAUGAAUGGAGUCAAUUUGUGAUUAGCCGCAUGUCCGAAGACUUCAAGAAACUAAGCGAGCAGCAAAAGGUACAAAGAAAGCAAAACCUUUAUCCACAUAGGCUUGCUCGUAAAGGAUAUGCGCGUCUUGCUAGUGAAAUUUCAACAGAAUUGUGUGAUGAUGACGAAGUGAAUAGAGCUAUACUUUGGAAGAAAGGGAGAACUAGUAAGCAAGGAGAAAUAGAAGGAGAUGUUUUGAAGACAAAAUUUACAAAGAUUGAUGAAUAUAUUCAGCAAAAGCAAGAUGGUUUGUUGCAACUUCAAGGACCAAAUGAGGACAUCCUGACACAGGCUCUUGAAUCUAAGGAGCAUGGAGGUCGGGUGAGGGCUAUAGGUGGACAUGUCAAUCCCUCAACAUAUUUCAGAUUGGGUAAAGGGAUGCUUCCUAACCAUGAGAAAAAUGUCCUUCUAAGACGACAAGCAACAGUAGAAGACAGAGUUGCAAAGUUAGAAAAUUUGGUCCUUCAAAAUGUUGCUUUUAAAUCAUCUUCGAUUGAAGAAAAAGGGAGUUGUACUGCAAAGGAUGCAAAGGGUGCGAUGAAGCUGAGUGAAGAAGAAAUUGGUUUUAUGAAACAAAAAUUGGAUUUCGAAGAUGAUGAUGAUGAGCUGCAGUUUAUUGACAAAGAAGAUGUCUUGGAGAAACAAUGUAAGAAGAAACCGAGCAAGGAAGUCAAAAAGCUUGAGUUGAACUCCUCAAGUAUGCCUAAGUCAUUAUGGCUACUAUACUGUUAUUACAAGCGUGCACUUGGGAAUGGAGAGAGUUUAAAAAUCGUGCUAGAUGAAAAUGUCUUCGGGGAAGAAUGUACUCUAUAUGUGCACGACGAAGAUGUGACUCCGUUUUGUCAAUUGAUGCCAAUAUCGUACACAUGUAUUGCUGUGUACAUAUGGUAUUUGUAUAAAAAGAUGAUGGAAGACAACAAGCUUGAAAAAUUCAGAUUUAUGCAGCCAUGUCAUGUAGGUCAUGUGCCAACGACAAGAACAGAUAAAAAUUUCCUAGACAAACAGUUGGAAAGUAGGGCACGAGCUUUAGCAGACAGACUAAUUGACAAUCCAAGUAGUGCAUCACUUUUGGUGCCAUGUAAUGUAGGUUUCCAUUGGAUUCUGACAGUUAUCAACCUUAGUAAGGAUAUUGUUUAUUUGUGGGACCCUCUUAGUCAUCGCAUUCGCGAUGAUGAUUGGAAACAUGUUGUAGAAAUGGCUAUUAAAAUGGUUCAUGCGGCCUCUGGGAAUGGAAAGAAAGGACGAAGUAAAACUGCUUGGGAAAUUGUCAAGGCUCCUCGUCAGCCGGAUAGUAACCAAUGCGGUUUCUAUGUCAUGGCUUACCUGAAGACUUUAAUUGAGAACAUGCCGGACAUUGAUGAUAAAGAUUCUGUUCAAGCACUGUUCCAACAAGUUGAAUAUGACAAAGCGGUUAUUGAUCUGGUGCGUUCUGAAUGGGCCGAUAUUUUAUCAAGUUAUAUACAGUAGGUAUGAUUUGAUCAUUAGAACGUUGUGAUCUUUUAGACUUCGUGGAAUUGUUUGUUGUAGUAUUAUGAUGACUUCGUCGAAUUGUUUUUUGUAUUAUUAUGACUUGGAUGAUAUUUGAUUCGAUGAGAAUUGGUCAUGGAAGUAUUUACACUUGUUAUUCCAGAACAAAGAUGUUUGAGAUUAUGGAAUAAGAAAUCAAUCGGAAGGAA